AGCGAACGCUGGCGGCAGGCCUAACACAUGCAAGUCGAACGAACCUUUCGGGGUUAUUGGCGGACGGGUGAGUAACACGUGGGAACGUGCCUUUAGGUUCGGCAUAACUCAGGGAAACUUGUGCUAAUACCGAAUGUGCCCUUCUGGGGAAAGAUUAAUCGCCUUUAGAGCGGCCCGCGUCUGAUUUGCUAGUUGGUUGAGGUAAUGGCUCACCAAGGCGACGAUCAGUAGCUGGUCUGAGAGGAUGAUCAGCCACAUUGGGACUGAGACACGGCCUAAACUCCUACGGGAGGCAGCAGUGGGGAAUCUUGCGAAAUGGGCGAAAGCCUGACGCAGCCAUGCCGCGUGAAUGAUGAAGGUCUUAGGAUUGUAAAAUUCUUUCACCGGGGACGAUAAUGACGGUACCCGGAGAAGAAGCCCCGGCUAACUUCGUG
rnacentral:rRNA from 1 species